GCAUCAGUUACAGAAAUCCGUAGAGACACUACAGAUGCGGAGCCACGCCCAUUAUCGUCGGUGGCCUAAAGAGUUAAUGAAACUUAACGACAUAAUUGAUGUGCAACGAACUGCAAGGAUUUUUUGAAGAAUUGUUACUUUGAAAAGGUAAA
rnacentral:sRNA from 1 species